rnacentral:tRNA from 1 species
GGAAGUGUGCCCGAUUCUAAGGAUUACUUUGAUAGAGUAAAACAAAGGGGUUUAAACCCCCUCAUUUCCC